CCUACGGGAGGCAGCAGUGGGGAAUAUUGGGCAAUGGGCGCAAGCCUGACCCAGCAACGCCGCGUGAAGGAAGAAGGCUUUCGGGUUGUAAACUUCUUUUCUGCGGGACGAAGAAAGUGACGGUACCUCAGGAAUAAGCUACGGCUAACUACGUGCCAGCAUCCGCGGUAAUACGUAGGUGGCAAGCGUUAUCCGGAUUUCUUGGGUGUAACGGGGGUGUAGGCGGGAAAGCACGUCAGCUGUGAAAACUCAGGGCUCAACCCUGGGCCUGCAUUUGAAAAUGUUUUUCUUGAGUGCUGGAGAGGCAAGAGGAAUUCCGGGUGUAGCGGUGAAAUGCGUAGAUAUACGGAGGAACACCAGUGGCGAAGGCGGAUUGCGGGACAGUAACUGACGCUGAGGCGCGAAAGCGUGGGGAGCAAACAGGAUUAGAUACCCUAGUAGUC
rnacentral:rRNA from 1 species